ACUCCGGUUGAUCCUGCCGGACCCCACUGCUAUCGGGGUAGGACUUAACCAUGCGAGUUGUGCGUCCCCAAGCCAUGGUGGGGGCGCGGCAUACGGCUCAGUAACACGUGGCUAACCUAGCCUUUGGACGGGGACAACCCCGGGAAACUGGGGCUAAUCCCCGAUGGGUGGGAAGGCCUGGAAUGGUUUCCCACCGAAAGGGCGUCUGAACCAUGCUUCAGGCGUUGCCGAAGGAUGGGGCCGCGGCCGAUCAGGUUGUUGGUGAGGUAACGGCUCACCAAGCCUAUAACCGGUACGGGCCGUGAGAGCGGGAGCCCGGAGAUGGGCACUGAGACAAGGGCCCAGGCCCUACGGGGCGCAGCAGGUGCGAAAACUCCGCGAUGCGCGAAAGCGUGACGGGGCUAUCCCGAGUGCCGUCCGCUGAGGAUGGCUUUUCCCCGGUGUAGGGAGCCGGGGGAAUAAGGAGAGGGCAAGUCUGGUGUCAGCCGCCGCGGUAAUACCAGCUCUCCGAGUGGUGGGGACAAUUAUUGGGCUUAAAGCGUCCGUAGCCGGCCCAUCAAGUCUCUUGUUAAAUCCAGCGAUCCAAUCGCUGGACUGCGGGAGAUACUGCUGGGCUAGGGGGCGGGAGAAGCCGAUGGUAUUCUCGGGGUAGGGGUGAAAUCCUAUAAUCCCGGGAGGACCACCAGUGGCGUAGGCGGUCGGCUAGAACGCGCCCGACGGUGAGGGACGAAAGCUGGGGGAGCGAACCGGAUUAGAUACCCGGGUAGUCCCAGCCGUAAACGAUGCGGGCUAGGUGUUGGGGUGGCUACGAGCCACCCCAGUGCCGCAUGGAAGCAAUUAAGCCCGCCGCCUGGGGAGUACGGCCGCAAGGCUGAAACUUAAAGGAAUUGGCGGGGGAGCACCACAAGGGGUGAAGCUUGCGGUUUAAUUGGAGUCAACGCCGGGAAAGGAACAGCGUUUUGUUGUUCCUCUGGAUACCUUACCGGGGGCGACAGCAGGAUGAAGGCCAGAUUGAAGGUCUUGCUGGACGAGCUGAGAGGAGGUGCAUGGCCGUCGCCAGUUCGUGCCGUGAGGUGUCCUGUUAAGUCAGGUAACGAUCGAGACCCACACCCCCAGUUGCUACCUCUUCGGAGGGCACUCUAGGGGUACUGCCGCCGAUAAGGCGGAGGAAGGAGUGGGCCACGGCAGGUCAGUAUGCCCCGAAUCCCCCGGGCCACACGCGAGCUGCAAUGGCAAGGACAAUGGGUUCUGACCCCGAGAGGGGAAGGUAAUCCCGAAACCCUGCCUCAGUUGGGAUCGAGGGCUGAAACCCGCCCUCGUGAACAUGGAAUCCCUAGUAAUCGCGGGUCACCAGCCCGCGGUGAAUACGUCCCUGCUCCUUGCACACACCGCCCGUCGCUCCAUCCGAGUGGGGUUUAGGUGAGGCGUGGUCCUUGUGGCUGUGUCGAAUCUAGGCUUCGCGAGGAGGGAGAAGUCGUAACAAGGUGGCCGUAGGGGAACCUGCGGCCGGAUCACCUC
rnacentral:rRNA from 1 species